UGAAGGACAUGGAUGCCUGCCAAUGCAUUUUAUACAUAGCACACAUAGUACAGCUGAGAAUUAGGGGUAGGGGGCCUUUGCUCCACCACCACAGCCCAACUCCUCCAUCUGCCUGCCUAGCGCUGCCUAGGGCUGCCUGUCUCUGGCUUCGCCUCCACAUAGCCAGCUCUCUGACAGCCCUCUACCAAGCUCCUCCCCACCCUAUCCCCCUGCUACCACUUCUCUCUGCUUUGCUUUGCUUUGCUUUCCUCUUUUUCUUUAAUGACAGGAACACAGAGUGUGAAAGCUCACUGUAUUUCUUAGGGAUGUCAAAGCAAUGGGAGAUCACGAAGCUUUUACAAUCGUUGAGGGGAAGACAUAUUUUCUCCCGGUGUGUAAUUUAGUUCCUGUUCAGAAAGGAGAGGAAAGAACCCAGAAGAGGUCACAAGUCUCACUGCGGUAAUAAUUAUUUGAGGAAAGCAACACUGAAGCAUACAAGAGCGCAAAAGCUGUUCCGGACAACUGUGUGAUCACGCUCUCUGUAGCCGAUUUGAGUAAGACCUUUAAAUCGGUCAACAUUCACAAGGCCACAGGGCGAGACGGAUUACCAGGACGUGUACUCCGAGCAUGCGCUGACCAACGGGUACAUGGUGGAACUCUGAGGGAGAGGAGAGAUCUGGGAUGGGCCCUCUCCAAAGGAACCUGUCUACUCCUUCUGAUUCCUCUUGGCUCCUGGGGACGUCUCAGCCUCCAGCAUGUCUCUCCCAGGAAGCCAUAACUCUCUUUUUCAGGAAGUGAGCUGUGCAUGGAGUGCUCUCUGCAUCUGUCUGGGAGAGAAAAAGGGGAACAAGAGGUCAGACAGGCCUGGGACCACUUCUAACAUGCAUUAUGGAUGACGGCUAGCAUGUGCUUGAAUAUUUACAUUUGUCUAAAGGUGAUGCAAAUACUAAGUUGACUGAGAGAGUGCUAUGUUAGUCUGACAACAAAGGUUCCCUCACAAACAGUUAGGUAUUGUGCCAAUCUUGAACAUAAAAAAACCCAUGAUUGGCACACCUUAGUUAAUCAUUUGCAUGGAACCAAAAUGAUGUAAUUGUAAGUGUAUUCAUACUAUGACUUACAAACACCAGAAUGCUUUAUCCUUCACUGUACUAUUAAAGCGUUCUGCUUUUUAACCAGA